rnacentral:snoRNA from 1 species
GUGGCCUGCCCUCCCCGUGGGCUGCACUGGCUGGAGAAGGGUGCAGCCCUGGGCAGCCACACACAGUGACUGGGUCCUGCCGACAGGCCCUGCAGAGCCAUCAGGCGUCCUGUGCGAGGGUCCCACACAUC